rnacentral:lncRNA from 13 species
GGUUAGGUUGCGCGAUGGUGUGUGGAUGUGGAUGGAGAUAGUGUGAGGCUGAGUAUGAGUGUUUGUAGUAUAUUAGGAAGUAUUAGAAAGAGGUACGAAUUAGAGAGAUAAGAAGGUAGAGAAGAUGGGUAAUUGGAGACGGAUGUAGGGGAAAAGGAAUUGAGGAGAUAUUAUGAGACAUAGGCGGAAGGAACAGGAAUAGGUUAGGGCGGACAAUGAGGCGGGAGAAUCUGGGAGGGCCGGUAAGGUAGGAAUUAAACAUGGAAGGUAAGGAAAAUAAAAAGGGCAAAGAGAAAGAGUGUAAGGAGAAUAGGUUAGAGAAACAAAAGGUUAGAAAUAAAGGCAGAAACAGCAAUAGGAAAGAAAAGGCGAUAAGUAAUGCAAGGAAUUAGGCAGAAUGGUUUAUGGAGAAUGAGUGACAUAUGGUACAUGAGAGAAUGAAUGAAUGAAAGGAAAGGAGAUUGGAAGGAAUGUAAGGAGACGGUGAGAAGAGUGAUAUUAUAGGAAAGAAGUAGUAAAAGUAGCAAAAGAAAUUAGAAAUUAGAACGUAAGUUAGGUAAUAGGAUCAGGUAUAGACAUAAAUAUAGAUAUUGUAAUUGUAAAAGUAAAAGUAAACGUAGAGGAAAAGGAAAUGUAAAGGUAUAGUUGAAUUGUAUAAGUAAUUAGUUAAUUAAGGAUCCUGGCUUGAUAUAGGAAGGAGACCGAGGGAACUCUGAUCACCGGCCGGUGGAGAUUAAGGUUAAUAAGCAUAAAGGAUGGAGAAAAAGGUACAGGAGACUGAGGUUAUGAAGCAUAAAGGAUAGAAAAAGUGGUAUAGGGAGAAAAAGAAAAAGGAAAAAGGAAAAGGAACUAGAAUAAAUAUAUAGGAUAAGGAGGCGACAGAGGGGUAAGCAAAAAGGAAAAAGGAACCGGAAUUUUAGUAAGAAUUGGAAAGAAGGAGGCUGUUGGAUUAUUAAAGGAGAAGGAGAAACGGAGCCGGAUCUUUUGCCUUUGGAGACUGCACUUACAGAGGUUGAAGAAGGAUAGUAUGGAAUAAGACAACAGAGGUGGAUGCAGAAGAGACGGAAGAGCGCUGUGGAUCUCCUUUGCAGCAACAAGUUCACACUGUGGGUAAUUCUUGUCACGUUGUACUGGAACGAUCCCAUAAGAUGCGUAAUUUCUGAAAUUCUGCAUUUCUGCGUGGAGAUAUUAAGUAAUCUCUGUAAGGCUGGGUGAAAAGGAGGCUACAAGGAUUAUUAAGGAUUAUUAAAGAUAUUUGGUAUAGGAAGCAGGAAAGAAAAGAGAGGAGAGAAAAAAAGAGGGAAA